rnacentral:rRNA from 1 species
UACGUAGGGACCAAGCGUUGUUCGGAUUUACUGGGCGUAAAGGGCGCGUAGGCGGCGUGACAAGUCACUUGUGAAAUCUCUGGGCUUAACCCAGAACGGCCAAGUGAAACUGUCGUGCUAGAGUGCGGAAGGGGCAAUCGGAAUUCUCGGUGUAGCGGUGAAAUGCGUAGAUAUCGAGAGGAACACCUGAGGUGAAGACGGGUUGCUGGGCCGACACUGACGCUGAGUGCGCGAAAGCCAGGGGAGCAAACAGG